GAUGAACGCUAGCGGGAGGCUUAACACAUGCAAGUCGAGGGGUAGGGAAGCAAUUCCUGAGACCGGCGGACGGGUGCGUAACGCGUAUGCAACCUGCCUUAUACAGGGGGAUAGCCCAUGGAAACGUGGAUUAACACCCCAUAGGAUUACGGGAUCGCAUGAUUUUGUGAUUAAAACUGAGGUGGUAUAAGAUGGGCAUGCGUCUGAUUAGGUAGUUGGUAGGGUAAUGGCCUACCAAGCCGACGAUCAGUAGGGGUUCUGAGAGGAUUACCCCCCACACGGGGACUGAGACACGGACCAGAAUCCUACGGGAGGCAGAAGUGAGGAAUAUUGGUCAAUGGCCGGAAGGCUGAACCAGCCAUCCCGCGUGCAGGAUGACGGCCCUAUGGGUUGUAAACUGCUUUUGUACCUGAAGAAUAGGCCCAACGAGUUGGGAUUUGCCGGUAAGGUAUGAAUAAGCAUCGGCUAACUCCGUGCCAGCAGCCGCCGUAA
rnacentral:rRNA from 1 species